rnacentral:rRNA from 1 species
CAUGCAAGUCGAACGGAAAGGCCCUUCGGGGUGCUCGAGUGGCGAACGGGUGAGUAACACGUGGGUGAUCUGCCCUGCACUUUGGGAUAAGCCUGGGAAACUGGGUCUAAUACCGAAUAGGACUCCGGCCUUCAUGGGUUGGGGUGGAAAGCUUUUGCGGUGUGGGAUGGGCCCGCGGCCUAUCAGCUUGUUGGUGGGGUAAUGGCCUACCAAGGCGACGACGGGUAGCCGGCCUGAGAGGGUGACCGGCCACACUGGGGCUGAGAUACGGCCCAGACUCCUACGGGAGGCAGCAGUGGGGAAUAUUGCACAAUGGGCGCAAGCCUGAUGCAGCGACGCCGCGUGAGGGAUGACGGCCUUCGGGUUGUAAACCUCUUUCAGCACAGACGAAGCGCAAGUGACGGUAUGUGCAGAAGAAGGACCGGCCAACUACGUGCCAGCAGCCGCGGUAAUACGUAGGGUGCGAGCGUUGUCCGGAAUUACUGGGCGUAAAGAGCUCGUAGGUGGUUUGUCGCGUUGUUCGUGAAAACUCACA